rnacentral:rRNA from 1 species
UACAGAGGUGGCAAGCGUUGUUCGGAAUUACUGGGCGUAAAGGGCGAGUAGGCGGCCUCCUAAGUCAGACGUGAAAUCCCCCGGCUUAACCUGGGAACUGCGUCUGAUACUGGGAAGCUUGAGUAUGGGAGAGGAAGGUAGAAUUCCAGGUGUAGCGGUGAAAUGCGUAGAUAUCAGGAGGAACACCUGCGGUGUAGACGGCUUACUGGACCAUAACUGACGCUGAGGCACGAAAGCGUGGGUAGCAAACAGG